UAGGGAAUCUUCCGCAAUGGACGAAAGUCUGACGGAGCAACGCCGCGUGAGUGAAGAAGGAUUUCGUUUCGUAAAACUCUGUUGUUAGGGAAGAAAAAAUGUAUAGUAACUAUAUACAAAAGAGACGGUACCUAACCAGAAAGCCACGGCUAACUACGUGCCAGCAGCCGCGGUAAUACGUAGGUGGCAAGCGUUGUCCGGAAUUAUUGGGCGUAAAGCGCGCGCAGGUGGUUUAGAAAGUCUGAUGUGAAAGCCCACGGCUCAACCGUGGAGGGUCAUUGGAAACUAAUAAACUUGAGUGCAGGAGAGAAAAGUGGAAUUCCUAGUGUAGCGGUGAAAUGCGUAGAGAUUAGGAGGAACACCGGUGGCGAAAGCGGCUUUUUGGCCUGCAACUGACACUGAGGCGCGAAAGCGUGGGGAGCAAACAGG
rnacentral:rRNA from 1 species